AGAGUUUGAUCAUGGCUCAGAACGAACGCUGGCGGCGUGCUUAACACAUGCAAGUCGAGUGCGCGGUUGUAGCAAUACAACUGGCGCACGGCGCACGGGUGCGUAACACGUGGGUAACCUGCCCUUUGGUGGGGAAUAACUCCGCGAAAGCGGAGCUAAUUCCGCAUAAGAUCCGCAAGGAUGAAAGCCGCAAGGCGCCGAAGGAGGGGCCCGCGCCCGAUUAGCUAGUUGGUGAGGUAAUGGCUCACCAAGGCUUUGAUCGGUAGCUGGUCUGAGAGGAUGAUCAGCCACACUGGAACUGAGACACGGUCCAGACUCCUACGGGAGGCAGCAGUGGGGAAUCUUGCACAAUGGGCGAAAGCCUGAUGCAGCGACGCCGCGUGGGGGAUGAAGCAUUUCGGUGUGUAAACCCCUUUCGAUCCGGACGAAACCCCGCAAGGGAUUGACGGUACGGAUAUAAGAAGCCCCGGCUAACUACGUGCCAGCAGCCGCGGUAAGACGUAGGGGGCCAGCGUUGUUCGGAAUUACUGGGUGUAAAGGGUUCGUAGGCGGUGCGGCAAGUUGGGAGUGAAAUCUCUGGGCUUAACCCAGAGGCUGCUUCCAAAACUGCUGUGCUUGAGUGUGGGAGAGGCGCGUGGAAUUGCAGGUGUAGCGGUGAAAUGCGUAGAUAUCUGCAGGAACACCCGUGGCGAAAGCGGCGCGCUGGACCACUACUGACGCUGAGGAACGAAAGCUAGGGGAGCAAACAGGAUUAGAUACCCUAGUAGUCC
rnacentral:rRNA from 1 species